CCUGAGAAACCCAAAAGAUCGAAUGGGGAGAUUCAUCGUCAGCUCAUUUUGUAUAUAUAUAAGUUGUGAUGCGGGUUACUACUUGUAGUAUUGCCUGCACAUUCUUUUAUAUUUAGUUGCAAGAUGUUGUCGGCGUGCACUUCUCCCCUAGUAGGACGUCGCGACCCGUUGGGUGUCGGUUUACGGCCCAAGUGAUAGCCUUUAAUGUAAUUUAAAAAACAUUGAAGAUCCUUGGUGUUUUCUAACCGGCUACUCGGCGGUAUUCGUACGGUAUUUAGCCGCUAAUUUAUUAGCGUUCAUGUCCGUCACAAGCGAGGCCAAUUUUUACUGAUAGUACGGACCUAGUGCCGUCGUUGGUAUUGGCCAGCUGUUGGUUGUACGGUAUUCUAGAACUGGCUAAAAUUAAUUACCGGUCGGCGAUGCUACUGCUUUGGGUACUUUCNGG
rnacentral:rRNA from 1 species